GAGCUAGCUAGCCACUUGUUUCUCUCUCUAGUUUUUCAUUUUUUUUUUGUACUUUUUAAAAAAGUCUCUCUCUCUCUCUCUCUCUCUCUCUCUCUCUAAUGGA
rnacentral:sRNA from 1 species